AUUGAACGCUGGCGGCAUGCCUUACACAUGCAAGUCGAACGGCAGCACGGGAGCAAUCCUGGUGGCGAGUGGCGAACGGGUGAGUAAAGUAUCGGAACGUGCCCAGUCGUGGGGGAUAACGUAGCGAAAGUUACGCUAAUACCGCAUACGAUCUAUGGAUGAAAGCGGAGGAUCGCAAGACCUCGCGCGAUUGGAGCGGCCGAUAUCAGAUUAGGUAGUUGGUGGGGUAAAGGCCCACCAAGCCGACGAUCUGUAGCUGGUCUGAGAGGACGGACAGCCACACUGGGACUGAGCCACGGCCCAGACUCCUACGGGAGGCAGCAGUGGGGAAUUUUGGACAAUGGGCGAAAGCCUGAUCCAGCCAUGCCGCGUGCAGGAUGAAGGCCUUCGGGUUGUAAACUGCUUUUGUACGGAACGAAAAGGACUGCCCUAAUACGGUGGUCCCAUGACGGUACCGUAAGAAUAAGCACCGGCUAACUACGUGCCAGCCGCCGCCGUAACAC
rnacentral:rRNA from 1 species